UCUCAGUGGUUAAAAGUUUUGGAGUGCGGUAGAGGAAAGGGGGAUGGAAAAGAAAAUAAUGUAGCUGACGUCUGAUGUUGGAUCGCGGUUGAAUGAAGUUACACCUCAACUAGAUUUUGGAGAGAGAGAGAGAGAGAGAGGCGCAGAGAGAAGAGAAAAGAAGAGAGGCAUUAUGAUGGUAGUCCGAAGAUCUCUGCAAUACCCAUUGCUCCUGGCCUUGACCUCUCUGCAUCUGCAACACCUUUCUGGCCUAGACAACAACCCUUCAGGUGCCAAAAAUGAAAAUAAAGAUGUGAAUCAUCAUGCUUCAAGAAGCUCUGUGGGGCUCAAGAUAAUUAUUAUUUUCCUUGGUGUGGUGACAGUCAUAGCAUUCUGUGUUUUUCUUUUCAAAUUAUGGCAAAGGAAGAAGAGAGAAGAGCAGCAUGCUCGCCUUUUGAAGCUGUUUGAAGAUGAUGAUGAACUUGAGGUAGAACUUGGUAUGCGGGAUUGACAAUUUAUCUCAUUCCUUCUUUAUAGAAAAAAUGCACAUCAUUUUCAUGUCAACAAGGCUAUGUUCUUUUACCAUUUAAAUCUAGCAUGGGUUAGUUUGAAGAGUUGAACUCAGGCAUUUGCUUGUCACCCGUUUGGUCCUCUCCUGGUUUAGCAGGGGGGAUUUAGGGUUCAAUUCUCAUCUUCUCACUUGAUGAGAGCAAGAUGAGGCAAGUUUAUAUUUUAUUAUUGUAUACUUAUUUGUAAAUCAUAUAUUGGUUCUACUUAAUAAGGUGAUGUCAAUUAAUAAAAAAUUUAUCUGAUGUGAAUAUUCAUUUUGAA